rnacentral:lncRNA from 1 species
AAAAGAGGUCAAGCUAAUAACCUGAGGAAACAGGAAGAAAACUCCAAUUGUCUUAUACAGAAGGUCUACAAUCAAUAGGAUGAAGUCUAACACUGGCGAGAGUGGGAGGCCUUGAAAGCUCCAUGAUAGAGAUGACAGAGCUAUAAGAUGAAAGCAGCCCAAAUCCCUGAGUCACCAAUGUUUGAAGAAGAGCUUCCCAGGAGAGGUACCAGACCCACAUGAGACUUCACAUGAUUAUAAAAUGAACUUCUAUUGUGUUGAAUCUCUGAACUUCAGGGUUGUUUUGCAGCACAGACUACAUUAUAGCGACAAGUAGAGGAAGGUACAGGCAUGCUAAUUUCAUUUUAAAAUUAAUCAAGGAUUGUCAAUGGAAAAUAAAGAUUUCAGAUUCC